rnacentral:rRNA from 1 species
GACGAACGCUGGCGGCGUGCUUAACACAUGCAAGUCGAACGGAAAGGCCCUGCUUUUGUGGGGUGCUCGAGUGGCGAACGGGUGAGUAACACGUGAGUAACCUGCCCUUGACUUUGGGAUAACUUCAGGAAACUGGGGCUAAUACCGGAUAGGAGCUCCUGCUGCAUGGUGGGGGUUGGAAAGUUUCGGCGGUUGGGGAUGGACUCGCGGCUUAUCAGCUUGUUGGUGGGGUAGUGGCUUACCAAGGCUUUGACGGGUAGCCGGCCUGAGAGGGUGACCGGCCACAUUGGGACUGAGGUACGGCCCAGACUCCUACGGGAGGCAGCAGUGGGGAAUAUUGCACAAUGGGCGGAAGCCUGAUGAAGCAACGCCGCGUGCGGGAUGACGGCCUUCGGGUUGUAAACCGCUUUCGCCGGUGACGAAGCGUGAGUGACGGUAAUGGGUAAAGAAGCACCGGCUAACUACGUG